GUUGACCUCGGAUCAGGUAGGAAUACCCGCUGAACUUAAGCAUAUCAAUAAGCGGAGGAAAAGAAACCAACAGGGAUUGCCCCAGUAACGGCGAGUGAAGCGGCAACAGCUCAGAUUUGAAAUCCGGCCUCGGCCCGAGUUGUAAUCUGUAGGGGAUGUCCCUGGCGCGGCGCCUACCGAGUUCCCUGGAACGGGACGCCAUAGAGGGUGAGAGCCCCGUAUGGUUGGACGCCUAGCCUCUGUGGGACUCCUCCGACGAGUCGAGUAGUUUGGGAAUGCUGCUCAAAUUGGGAGGUAAAUCUCUUCUAAAGCUAAAUACCGGCCAGAGACCGAUAGCGCACAAGUAGAGUGAUCGAAAGAUGAAAAGCACCUUGGAAAGGGGGUUAAAAAGCACGUGAAAUUGUUGAAAGGGAAGCGCCCAUGACCAGACUCGCGCCGGGCGGAUCAUCCAGCGUUCUCGCUGGUGCACUCCGCCCGGUACGGGCCAGCAUCGGUUUUCGCGGGGGGAUAAGAGCAGCGGGGACGUGGCCCCUCCGGGGGUGUUAUAACCCGCUGCACGAUGCCCUCUCGGGGACCGAGGUUCGCGCUCUGCAAGGAUGCUGGCAUAAUGGUCAUCGGCGACCCGUCUUGAAACACGGACCAAGGAGUCGUCCAUUACGGCGAGCGUUUGGGUGUCAAACCCCUACGCGUAAUGAAAGUGAACGCAGGUGAGAGCUUCGGCGCAUCAUCGACCGAUCCUGAUGUAUUCGGAUGGAUUUGAGUAAGAGUCGUACCGGACGGACCCGAAAGAUGGUGAACUAUGCCUGAAUAGGGUGAAGCCAGAGGAAACUCUGGUGGAGGCUCGCAGCGGUUCUGACGUGCAAAUCGAUCGUCAAAUUUGGGCAUGGGGGCGAAAGACUAAUCGAACCAUC
rnacentral:rRNA from 1 species